AAAGUACUCCCUCCCAAAAUUCUUGUCUUAGAUUUGUCUAGAUACGGAUGUAUCAAGUCACAUUUUAGUAUUAGAUACAUCCGUAUAUAGACAAAUCUAAGACAAGAAAUUUGGGACAGAGGGAGUAGUUG
rnacentral:pre_miRNA from 1 species